rnacentral:rRNA from 1 species
GACGAACGCUGGCGGCGUGCUUAACACAUGCAAGUCGAACGGAAAGGCCCUGCUUUUGUGGGGUGCUCGAGUGGCGAACGGGUGAGUAACACGUGAGUAACCUGCCCUUGACUUUGGGAUAACUUCAGGAAACUGGGGCUAAUACCGGAUAGGAGCUCCUGCUGCAUGGUGGGGGUUGGAAAGUUUCGGCGGUUGGGGAUGGACUCGCGGCUUAUCAGCUUGUUGGUGGGGUAGUUGCUUACCAAGGCUUUGACGGGUAGCCGGCCUGAGAGGGUGAACGGCCACAUUGGGACUGAGGUACGGCCCAGACUCCUACGGGAGGCAGCAGUGGGGAAUAUUGCACAAUGGGCGGAAGCGUGAGGCAGCAACGCCGCGUGCGGGAUGACGGCUUUCGGGGUGUAAACCGCUUUCGCCUGUGACGAAGCGUGAGUGACGGUAAUGGGUAAAGAAGCACCGGCUAACUACGUG